CCUAGCGGGUGGCAGCAGUGGGGAAGAUUGGGCAAGGGGGGCAAGCUGGACCCAGCAAGGCGGGGGGAAGGAAGAAGGCUUCCGGGUUGUAAACUUCUUUUCUCAGGGACGAAGCAAGUGACGGUACCUGAGGAAUAAGCAACGGCUAACUACGGGCAAGCAGCCGCGGUAAUACGUAGGUGGCAAGCGUUAUCCGGAUUUACUGGGUGUAAAGGGCGUGUAGGCGGGACUGCAAGUCAGAUGUGAAAACCACGGGCUCAACCUGUGGCCUGCAUUUGAAACUGUAGUUCUUGAGUACUGGAGAGGCAGACGGAAUUCCUAGUGUAGCGGUGAAAUGCGUAGAUAUUAGGAGGAACACCAGUGGCGAAGGCGGUCUGCUGGACAGCAACUGACGCUGAGGCGCGAAAGCGUGGGGAGCAAACAGGAUUAGAUACCCUUGUAGUC
rnacentral:rRNA from 1 species